UACGGAGGGUGCGAGCGUUGUCCGGAAUCACUGGGCGUAAAGGGCGCGUAGGCGGCGCGGGCAGUCAACGGUGAAAGCUUGGGGCUCAACCCCGAGUCGGCCGUCGAUACUCCCGGGCUGGAGCACUGUAGAGGCAGGUGGAAUUCCUGGUGUAGCGGUGAAAUGCGCAGAUAUCAGGAGGAACACCGGUGGCGAAGGCGGGUCUCUGGGCCGAUACUGACGCUGAGGAGCGAAAGCGUGGGGAGCGAACAGG
rnacentral:rRNA from 1 species